rnacentral:misc_RNA from 1 species
UUAAGUUCAGCGGGUAUCCCCACCUGAUCCGAGGCCAACCAUUGAUAAAAAUUUGGGGUCCGGGGCGGCCUCCAACCAGUCGUCCACAAGCGAGGGUUUUGCUACGCUUGGAGUCCGGUAAGGGGCGCCCACGAGUUUCGGGCCGCCGCACGGGCGGGGCCCAUCACCAAGCUAGGCUUGAGGGAUGUAAUGGCGCUCGA